UCCCUGAGACCCUAACUUGUGACGUAUUAUGUAAAAUCUCACAGGCUAGAAUCUCAGGUAU
rnacentral:pre_miRNA from 1 species